AUGAUUCAGCGGCGGACGGGUGAGUAAUGCCUAGGAAUCUGCCUGGUAGUGGGGGACAACGUUUCGAAAGGAACGCUAAUACCGCAUACGUCCUACGGGAGAAAGUGGGGGAUCUUCGGACCUCACGCUAUCAGAUGAGCCUAGGUCGGAUUAGCUAGUUGGUGAGGUAAAGGCUCACCAAGGCGACGAUCCGUAACUGGUCUGAGAGGAUGAUCAGUCACACUGGAACUGAGACACGGUCCAGACUCCUACGGGAGGCAGCAGUGGGGAAUAUUGGACAAUGGGCGAAAGCCUGAUCCAGCCAUGCCGCGUGUGUGAAGAAGGUCUUCGGAUUGUAAAGCACUUUAAGUUGGGAGGAAGGGCAGUAAGUUAAUACCUUGCUGUUUUGACGUUACCAACAGAAUAAGCACCGGCUAACUUCGUGCCAGCAGCCGCGGUAAUACGAAGGGUGCAAGCGUUAAUCGGAAUUACUGAGCGUAAAGCGCGCGUAGGUGGUUCGUUAAGUUGGAUGUGAAAGCCCCGGGCUCAACCUGGGAACUGCAUCCAAAACUGGCGAGCUAGAGUAUGGCAGAGGGUGGUGGAAUUUCCUGUGUAGCGGUGAAAUGCGUAGAUAUAGGAAGGAACACCAGUGGCGAAGGCGACCACCUGGGCUAAUACUGACACUGAGGUGCGAAAGUGUGGGGAGCAAACAGGAUUAGAUACCCUGGUAGUCCACGCCGUAAACGAUGUCGACUAGCCGUUGGGAUCCUUGAGAUCUUAGUGGCGCAGCUAACGCAUUAAGUCGACCGCCUGGGGAGUACG
rnacentral:rRNA from 1 species